GGAUUUGAGGACAAUCUGGCUGCGACAUCUGUCAUCCCACUGAUUGCCGGGGUUGAUCUGGGUGAUCUGGCUGGCUAGGUGGGUGUCCCCUCCCUCCCUCACCGCUCCAUGUGUGUCCCUCCAAAGAGGAUGGCCUUCCCUAGUAGAGUAUAUCUGAGUAAACUACGCUCCCCUGCUAGAACCUCCAAACAAGCUCUCAAGUUCCCAGUUCUCACUAAAGUAGUGAAGUGCUGGUGACUCAAUUAGUUUCU
rnacentral:snRNA from 1 species